rnacentral:rRNA from 1 species
UGCGUAGGCGGAUUAAUAAGUCAGUGGUGAAAUCUUUCGGCUCAACCGAGAAACUGCCAUUGAUACUGUUAAUCUUGAGUUCGGUUGAGGUAGGCGGAAUGUGUAAUGUAGCGGUGAGAUGCUUAGAUAUUACACAGAACACCAAUUGCGUAGGCAGCUUACUAGACCGACACUGACGCUGAGGCACGAAAGCGUGGGGAGCGAACAGGAUUAGAUACCCUGGUAGUCC